rnacentral:rRNA from 1 species
UACGUAGGAGACGAGCGUUGUCCGGAGUUACUGGGCGUAAAGGGUGUGUAGGCGGUUGUUUAAGUUUGGUGUGAAAUCUCCCGGCUCAACUGGGAGGGUGCGCCGAAUACUGAGCGACUAGAGUGCGGGAGAGGAAAGUGGAAUUCCUGGUGUAGCGGUGAAAUGCGUAGAUAUCAGGAGGAACACCGGUGGUGUAGACGGCUUUCUGGACCGUAGCUGACGCUGAGACACGAAAGCGUGGGUAGCAAACAGG